rnacentral:rRNA from 1 species
UACAGAGGCCUCGAGCGUUAGGCGGAAUCACUGGGCUUAAAGCGUGUGUAGGCGGACUUCUAAGUACCUUGUGAAAUCCCACGGCUUACCCGUGGAACUGCUCGGUAUACUGGUUGUCUUGAGCCAUCUAGGGGCUACCGGAACAAAUGGUGGAGCGGUGAAAUGCGUAGAUAUCAUUUGGAACGCCAAUGGUGAAAACAGGUAGCUGGGGAUGUGCUGACGCUGAGACACGAAAGCCAGGGGAGCGAACGGG